CCUACGGGAGGCAGCAGUGAGGAAUAUUGGUCAAUGGCCGAGAGGCUGAACCAGCCAAGUCGCGUGAGGGAAGACGGCCCUACGGGUUGUAAACCUCUUUUGUCGGGGAGCAAAGCGAGUCACGUGUGACUCAUUGAGAGUACCCGAAGAAAAAGCAUCGGCUAACUCCGUGCCAGCAGCCGCGGUAAUACGGAGGAUGCGAGCGUUAUCCGGAUUUAUUGGGUUUAAAGGGUGCGCAGGCGGAGGUGCAAGUCAGCGGUCAAAUUGCGGGGCUCAACCCCGUACUGCCGUUGAAACUGGAGCCCUUGAGUGCGCGAGAAGUAUGCGGAAUGCGUGGUGUAGCGGUGAAAUGCAUAGAUAUCACGCAGAACUCCGAUUGCGAAGGCAGCAUACCGGCGCGCAACUGACGCUCAUGCACGAAAGCGUGGGUAUCGAACAGGAUUAGAUACCCCAGUAGUC
rnacentral:rRNA from 1 species